CUCACUCACUGGUGUCACAAUAGCUUGCAUUUAAAACCCAAAAACCUUUUUCACUGUUAUAGAUUGAAUAGCAGUUAGUUGUCUCAAAGCAGGUGUGUCAGGCUCACAGUGGAUAUUGUGCCAGUUCACAGUGCCACUCAUAUCUGGUGUCAUAAUAGCUUGCUUUUAAAAACAAAAAAAGGUUUUUCACUGUUAUAGAUUGAAUAGCAG